rnacentral:rRNA from 1 species
GCACCGGCGCACGGCUCAGUAACACGUGGAUAACCUACCCUCGGGUGGGGGAUAACCUCGGGAAACUGAGGCUAAUACCCCAUAGGCCAUGAGCGCUGGAAGGCCUCAUGGCCGAAAGCUCCGGCGCCCGAGGAUGGGUCUGCGGCCUAUCAGGUAGUUGGUGGGGUAACGGCCCACCAAGCCUACGACGGGUACGGGCCCUGGAAGGGGGAGCCCGGAGAUGGACUCUGAGACACGAGUCCAGGCCCUACGGGGUGCAGCAGGCGCGAAACCUUCGCAAUGCGCGAAAGCGCGACGAGGGGAGCCCGAGUGCCCUGGCACUGCCAGGGCUUUUCCUGAGCCUAAAAAGCUCAGGGAAUAAGGGCUGGGUAAGACGGGUGCCAGCCGCCGCGGUAAUACCCGCAGCUCGAGUGGUGGCCACUAUUAUUGAGCCUAAAGCGUCCGUAGCCGGACCUGUAAAUCCCUGGGUAAAUCCUGCCGCUUAACGGUAGGAAUUCUGGGGAGACUGCAGGUCUAGGGACCGGGUGAGGC